AUGCCUGCUGUGGCUUUAGUUCCUAAAGAACUCUACCUGAGUUCUUCACUAAAAGACCUCAAUAAGAAGACAGAAGUUAAACCAGAGAAAAUAAGCACUAAGAGGAUUACGUCCAUUCAAUACUUGGAACUGCAAACAUCAAAAAAGCCAUUGAAGAAGCUGAAAGACUCUCUGAGAGCCUUAAACUAAGAUAUAAAGAAGCUGAAGUCCGGAAAUAACUUGAGGAAAAGGACAGGCAGAAGGAAGCACAGCAACUACAACAAAAAAGGCAGGAAACAGGAAGAGAGGAUGGUGGCACAUUGGCUAAAGUUUCUUUGGAGAAUGUAUUGGAUUCCAAAGACAAAACCCAAAAGAGCAAUGGUGAAAAGAGUGAAAAAAUGUGAGACCAAAGAGAAAGGAGCAAUUACAACAAAGGAACUAUACACAAUGAUGACGGAUAAAAACAUCAGCUUGAUUAUAAUGAUUGCUCGAAGAAUGCAGAAUUAUCAGGAUUCCUGUAUUUUACAUUCUCUCAGUGUUCCUGAAGAAGCCAUCAGUCCAGGGUG
rnacentral:lncRNA from 1 species